UCGUAUACUGAAUGUAUCCUGAGUGUAAAACUUUCCGGUACACCUUCAGUAUACGUAG
rnacentral:pre_miRNA from 1 species